AAUAGAUACCCCGGUAGUCCACGCCGUAAACGAUGAGUGCUAGGUGUUGGGGGGACCCCCUCAGUGCCGCAGGUAACCCAAUAAGCACUCCGCCUGGGGAGUACGGUCGCAAGACUGAAACUCAAAGGAAUUGACGGGGGCCCGCACAAGCGGUGGAGCAUGUGGUUUAAUUCGAAGCAACGCGAAGAACCUUACCAGGGCUUGACAUCCCGCUGACCGGUGUAGAGAUACGCCUUUCCCCUUCGGGGGACAGCGGUGACAGGUGGUGCAUGGUUGUCGUCAGCUCGUGUCGUGAGAUGUUGGGUUCAGUCCCGCAACGAGCGCAACCCUUGUUUCUAGUUGCCAGCACUUCGGGUGGGCAUUCUAGAGAGACAGCCGGUGAAAGCCGGAGGAAGGUGGGGAUGACGUCAAAUCAUCAUGCCCCUUAUGUCCUGGGCUACACACGUGCUACAAUGGCUGGUACAAAGGGCAGCGAACCCGCGAGGGGGAGCCAAUCCCAAAAAACCAGUCUCAGUUCGGAUUGCAGGCUGCAACUCGCCUGC
rnacentral:rRNA from 1 species